rnacentral:rRNA from 2 species
AAAUUGAAGAGUUUGAUCAUGGCUCAGAUUGAACGCUGGCGGCAGGCCUAACACAUGCAAGUCGAACGGUAACAGGAAGCAGCUUGCUGCUUCGCUGACGAGUGGCGGACGGGUGAGUAAUGUCUGGGAAGCUGCCUG